rnacentral:rRNA from 1 species
AAAACCCCCGGCUCUCCCGUGGAGGGUCACUGGUAAAGCGGGAAACUCUAGUGUCAAAGAGGAUUCUGGAUUCUCACGUGUGUCGGGGAAAAACUNGGAGAUUUGGGGAAAACCCCCUGGGGGANAGGACUAUGUGGUCAGUAGUUGACACUGUGANGGUGAAAGAGUGGGGGGCGCACACGGUAAGAUACCCCGUUAGUCCCCCCGGUNAACGAGGAGUGAUAAGUCUUUGGGGGGUUCCGCCCCUUNGUGCUGCAGCUAACGCCAUAAACACUUCCCCUGGGGAGNACGGUCGCAAGAGUGAAAAUCAAAAGAAUUGGCCGGGGCCCGCCCCAAGNGUGGAGGCAUGUGGUUUAAUUUGAAGCAAAGGGACGAACCUUUCCAGGUCUUGACAUCCGCGAGGACCACUGUAGAGAUAUGGUUUCCCCCUUGGGGGCAACGACGACAGGUGGUGCAUGGUCGUCGUCAGCUCGUGUCGUGAGAUGGUGGGUUAAGUCCCGCAACGAGCGCCACCCUUGACCUUAGUUGCCAUCAAUUAGUUGGGCACUUUAAGAGGACUGCCGGUGACAAACCGGAGGAAGGGGGGGAUGACGUCCAAUCAUCAUGCCCCUUAUGACGUGGGGUUCCCCCGGGGUUCAAUGGACGAUACCAGUGGUCGCCAAUCUCCGGGGAGGGAGCUAAUCCUGACAAAAUCUUUCUCAGUUCGGAUUGUAGUCUGCAACUCGCGUGCAUGAAGGCGGAAUCGCUAGUAAUCGCGGAUCAGCAUGCCGCGGUGAAUACGUUCCCUGUCCUUGUACACACCGCCCGUCACACCACGAA